rnacentral:rRNA from 1 species
CCUACGGGGUGCAGCAGUGGGGGAUAUUGCACAAUGGGGGAAACCCUGAUGCAGCGACGCCGCGUGUGGGAAGACGGUCUUCUGGAUUGUAAACCACUGUCCCCAGGGACGAAAAUGACGGUACCUGGGGAGGAAGCUCCGGCUAACUACGUGCCAGCAGCCGCGGUAAUACGUAGGGAGCAAGCGUUGUCCGGAAUUACUGGGUGUAAAGGGAGCGUAGGCGGGGAUGCAAGUUGGGUGUCAAAACUACCGGCUCAACCGAUAGUCGCACUCAAAACUGCAGCUCUUGAGUGAAGUAGAGGCAGGCGGAAGUCCUAGUGUAGCGGUGAAAUGCGUAGAUAUUAGGAGGAACACCAGUGGCGAAGGCGGCCUGCUGGGCUUUUACUGACGCUGAGGCUCGAAAGUGUGGGGAGCAAACAGGAUUAGAUACCCUUGUAGUC